AGAUUAAGCCAUGCAUGUCUCAGUAUAAGCUUCUACACGGCGAAACUGCGAAUGGCUCAUUAAAACAGUUAUAGUUUAUUUGAUGGUCAUUUCUUACAUGGAUAACCGUGGUAAUUCUAGAGCUAAUACAUGCAACAAAGCCCAUUCGGGCUGUAUUUAUUAGAUAGAAACCAAUGCAGGGUUUUCCCUGGUGUUGUGGUGAGUCAUAAUAACUAAGCGAAUCGCAGUGGCUUCGGCCGGCGAUGAAUCAUUCAAGUUUCUGCCCUAUCAGCUGUCGAUGGUAGUGUAUUGG
rnacentral:rRNA from 14 species